UACGGGGGGGGUAAGCGUUGUUCGGAAUUACUGGGCGUAAAGGGCUCGUAGGCGGCCAACUAAGUCAUACGUGAAAUCCCUCGGCUUAACUGGGGAACUGCGUGUGAUACUGGAUGGCUUGGAUUUGGGAGAGGGAUGCGGAAUUCCAGGUGUAGCGGUGAAAUGCGUAGAUAUCUGGAGGAAUACCGGUGGCGAAGGCGGCAUCCUGGACCGACAUUGACGCUGAACGGCGAAAGCUAGGGGAGCAAACGGG
rnacentral:rRNA from 1 species